UAAAAACAUCACAAGAACCUUUGUUAGCUCAUAACUUAGCAUAUUUUCCUCCUAAAUGACAUAUCAUUUUCUUCUUCUCCUCCUCCUCCUUCUUCUUCUUCUCCUCCUCCUCCUUCUUCUUAUUCUCCUCCUCCUCCUCCUCCUCCUUCUUCUUCUUCUUCUUCUUCUUCUCCUUCUCCUCCGCUUUCUUCUCCUCUUUCAUCUUCUCCUUAGCAUAUUUCCCCCCAACAAUGACAUAAUUA
rnacentral:lncRNA from 1 species